UCUGAUACAAAAAAAUAAAACAAAUCAACGCAAUCUCUCUCUCGAUGAACAACCUUCAGCCAUGAACAAACCCUCGCAGUCGUCCACCACCACCAUCGAUUGAACCCUCAGCAACCUCAAAACAACUCACCACCACCGCCUUAUCACUCGCAGUCGUCCUCUGUCUCUCUCACUCGUCAAAUCGAAGCUUCUCACUUGAACCCUAACUCCAAAUCGAAGCCUCUCUCCGCUCUCACGAAUUGAAACAAAUUGAAACGAAUCGAAGCCUUUGCUCUCACGAAUCGAAGCUUGUCUUUCUCUUUCACUAUUGUCAAACCUUCAUCGAUUCAGUAUACACGAAUUGAAGCUCUCUCUCGUCACGAAUCGAAGCUCUCCGACUGAAAACGCAAACAGGAGUGGAGCCAAGGUUCCUGAAGUUAAUUGGUGUAAGUGUGGCGAAAGUGUUGCUAUGGAAGUAUCGAUGGGAAGUACAAAUGGAUUCUUAACUAAAAGAUUUGAAGAUGGAGCUGAGAAGUUUCUUGUUGAAGCAACCAAUCACCCAACUGGCCUAGAGACUGAUGAGGUGAAAAUGGGAAUUUUGAUGGGUACUGCUAACUUUACAAUAGGUGAGAACCAUUAUAAGGAAUAGCAUUAAGGAGACAUUGGAUCAAUAUGAUAUCUUGAUUUCCCCUGCACCUUCCUUCAGUUGCUUAUAAAAUUUGUGAAAAGAAAAAUGAUCCUUUGGCUAUGUAUGCUGGCGACAUCAUGACUGUGUUCAAUGAUCCCACGGCAUUAACAGAGGAUGAGCUGUAUGAUUUGCGAGACCGCUGGGCAACUUGUUUUCUUGAACUAUAUAAUCCCGAGGUAGAUUAUGAUGAUGCCGACGAGAAAGAUUAGGAGCUAGUUAGGUUUGUGUGAAGUUACAAUUGACUAGUUAUGAUGAUGUUUUAAUUUGUACUUUGGAUGGAUUAGUAUUAAUUAUUAUGAUGUUUUGUAUUUUGGAUUACAAUGUGGUUGUACUUUAAUGAUAUUAUUACUAUAUAUAUAUAUAUGUUGAAUUUGGCUA